rnacentral:sRNA from 1 species
GGAAGUAAAAGUCGUAACAAGGUCUCCGUUGGUGAACCAGCGGAGGGAUCAUUACCGAGUUAUACAACUCCCAAACCCACUGUGAACCUUACCUCAGUUGCCUCGGCGGGAACGCCCCGGCCGCCUGCCCCCGCGCCGGCGCCGGACCCAGGCGCCCGCCGCAGGGACCCCAAACUCUCUUGCAUUACGCCCAGCGGGCGGAAUUUCUUCUCUGAGUUGCACAAGCAAAAACAAAUGAAUCAAAACUUUCAACAACGGAUCUCUUGGUUCUGGCAUCGAUGAAGAACGCAGCGAAAUGCGAUAAGUAAUGUGAAUUGCAGAAUUCAGUGAAUCAUCGAAUCUUUGAACGCACAUUGCGCCCGCCAGCAUUCUGGCGGGCAUGCCUGUUCGAGCGUCAUUUCAACCCUCGAGCCCCCCCCGGGGGCCUCGGUGUUGGGGGACGGCACACCAGCCGCCCCCGAAAUGCAGUGGCGACCCCGCCGCAGCCUCCCCUGCGUAGUAGCACACACCUCGCACCGGAGCGCGGAGGCGGUCACGCCGUAAAACGCCCAACUUUCUUAGAGUUGACCUCGGAUCAGGUAGGAAUACCCGCUGAACUUAAGCAUAUCAAUAAGCGGAGGA